rnacentral:rRNA from 1 species
UAAGCCANGCCAGUUUGCAUGCCUGCAGUCACACCUUCUAGAGGAGAACCAGAGUUUGUAACUGGUUCAGGAGGAAUGCUGGCGGCGUGCUUAACACAUGCAAGUCGAACGGUUAUGCCCUUCGGGGUACACGAGUGGCGAACGGGUGAGUAACACGUGAGUAACCUGCCCCGGACUCUGGGAUAAGCAUUCGAAAGGGUGUCUAAUACUGGAUAGGACUCCUGCCUGCAUGGGUGGGGGUGGAAAGAUUUUUUGGUUCGGGAUGGGCUCGCGGCCUAUCAGCUUGUUGGUGGGGUGAUGGCCUACCAAGGCGUCGACGGGUAGCCGGCCUGAGAGGGCGACCGGCCACACUGGGACUGAGAUACGGCCCAGACUCCUACGGGAGGCAGCAGUGGGGAAUAUUGCGCAAUGGGCGGAAGCCUGACGCAGCAACGCCGCGUGCGGGAUGACGGCCUUCGGGUUGUAAACCGCUUUCACCCAUGACGAAAAUUUUUUUGACGGUAGUGGGAGAAGAAGCACCGGCCAACUACGUGCCAGCAGCCGCGGUGAUACAUAGGGUGCGAGCGUUGUCCGGAAUUAUUGGGCGUAAAGAGCUUGUAGGCGGUUUGUCGCGUCGGAAGUGAAAACUC